rnacentral:lncRNA from 1 species
GACUCCGCUGUCCUGGCGUCGUGAGGGAGCUUGUUCCACCAUUGGGGUGCCAGAGCAGCGAACAGUUUUGACUGGGCUGAGCGGGAACUGUGCUUCCUCAGAGCUUUAGGCUCAAAGUCCUCUGGAGAGGCUGAGAACAGCAGCUGACACUGAAAACAUUACUAAUCAGCAGCACUCAUGAGCUUUAGGCUCAAAGUCCUCUGGAGAGGCUGAGAACAGCUGCUGGCACUGAAAACAUUACUAAUCAGCAGCACUCAUGAGAUGGCUAUGGCUUGCUGAUAGCAUCUGAUCUGAUGAGACUCCCUGGGGUCUAUUUUAAAACCUCUACGGGAUCGGUGUCCCCCCCCACCGGACAGUUGAGCUAACGUGUGCUAAUGUGAUUAGCAUAACCUUUUAAGUAACAAAAACCUUUCCCAGGACAUAGACAUAUUUGAUAUGGGCAGAAAGGUUAAAUUCUUGUUAAUCUACAGUGGGGGGAAAAGUAUUUGAUCCCCUGCUUAUUUUGUACGUUUGCCCACUUACAAAGAAAUGAUCAGUCUAUAAUUUUAAUGGUAGGUUUAUUUGAACAGUGAGACACAGAAUAACAACAAAAAAAUCCAGAAAAACGCAUGUCAAAAAUGUUAUAAAAUUAUUUGAAUUUUAAUCAAAUCAAAUCAAAUUGAUUUAUAUAGCCCUUCUUACAUCAGCUGAUAUCACAAAGUGCUGUACAGAAACCCAGCCUAAAACCCCAAACAGCAAGCAAUGCAGGUGUAGAAGCACGGUGGCUAGGAAAAACUCCCUAGAAAGGCCAAAACCUAGGAAGAAACCUAGAGAGGAACCAGGCUAUGAGGGGUGGCCAGUCCUCUUCUGGCUGUGCCGGGUUGAGAUUAUAACAACACCUGGGCUAGAUGUUCAAAUGUUCAUAAAUGACCAGCAUUGUCAAAUAAUAAUAAUCAUAGUAGUUGUCGAGGGUGCAACAAGUCAGUAACACAAGAGUAAGUGUCAGUUGGCUUUUUCAUAGCCGAUCUUUGAGAGUAUCUCUACCGCUCCUGCUGUCUCUAGAGAGUUGAAAACAGCAGGUCUGGGACAGGUAGCACGUCCGGUGAACAGGUCAGGGUUCCAUAGCUGCAGGCAGAACAGUUGGAACUGGAGCAGAAGCACGGCCAGGUGAACUGGAGAUAGCAAGGAGUCAUCAAGCCAGGUAGUCCUGAGGCAUGGUCCUAGGGCUCAGGUCCUCCGAGAGAGAGAAAGAAAGACAGAAAAAGAGAGAAUUAGAGAGAGCAUAUUUAAAUUCACACAGGACACCGGAAAAGACAAGAUAAAUACUCCAGAUGUGACAGACUGACCCUAGCCCCCCGACACAUAAACUACUGCAGCAUAAAUACUGGGGCUGAGACAGGAGGGGUCAGGAGACACUGUGGCCCCAUCCGAUGAAACCCCCGGACAGGGCCAAACAGGUAGGAUAUAACCCAACUUUGCCAAAGCACAGCCUCCACACCACUGGAGGGAUAUCUCCAACCACCAACAUACCAUCCCGGGACAAGGCCGAGUAUAACCCACAAAGAUCUCCGCCACGGCACAGCCCAAGGGGGGGCGCCAACCCAGACAGGAAGACCACGUCAGUGUCUCAACCCACUCAAGUGACGCACCCCUCCCAGGGACGGCAUGGAAGAACACCAGUAAGCCAGUGCCUCAGCCCCCGUAAUAGGGGUAGAGGCAGAGAAUCCCAGUGGAAAGAGGGGAAACCGGCCAGGCAGAGACAGCAAGGGCGGUUCGUUGCUCCAGUCUUUCCGUUCACCUUCACACCCCUGGGCCAGACUACACUUAAUCAUAGGACCUACUGAAGAGAUAUGUCUUCAGUAAAGACUUAAAGGUUGAGACUGAGUCUGCGUCUCUCACAUGGGUAGGCAGACUAUUCCAUAAAAAUGGAGCUCUAUAGGAGAAAGCCCUGCCUCCAGCUGUUUGCUUAGAAAUUCUAGGAACAAUUAGGAGGCCCGCGUCUUGUGACCGUGGCGUACGUGUAGGUAUGUACGGCAGGACCAAAUCGGAAAGAUAGGUAGGAGCAAGCCCAUGUAAUGCUUUGUAGUUUAGCAGUAAAACCUUGAAAUCAGCCCUUGCCUUAACAGGAAGCCAGUGUAGGGAGGCUAGCACUGGAGUAAUAUGAUCAAAUUUUUUGGUUCUAGUCAGGAUUCUAGCAGCCGUAUUUAGCACUAACUGAAGUUUAUUUAGUGCUUUAUCCGGGUAGCCGGAAAGUAGAGCAUUGCAGUAGUCCAACCUAAAAGUAACAAAGGCAUGGAUUAAUUUUUCUGUGUCAUUUUUGGACAGAAAGUUUCAGAUUUUUGCAAUGUUACAUAGAUGGAAAAAAGCUGUCCUUGAAACAGUCUUGAUAUGUUCUUCAAAAGAGAGAUCAGGGUCCAGAGUAACGCCGAGGUCCUUCACAGUUUUAUUAAUUGUCAGAUUCAACAGAAUAUCUCUUUGUUUCUUGGGACCUAGAACAAGCAUCUCUGUUUUGUCCGAGUUUAAGAGUAGAAAGUUUACAGCCAUCCACUUCCUUAUGUCUGAGACACAGGCUUCUUGCGAGGGCAAUUUUGGGGCUUCACCAUGUUUCAUUGAAAUGUACAGCUGUGUGUCAUCCGCAUAGCAGUGAAAUUUAACAUUAUGUUUUCGAAUGACAUCCCCAAGAGGUAAAAUAUAUAGUGAAAACAAUAGUGGUCCUAAAACGGAACCUUGAGGAACACCGAAAUUUACAGUUGAUUUGUCAGAGGACAAACCAUUCACAGAGACAAACUGAUAUCUUUCCGACAGAUAAGACCUAAACCAGGCCAGAACUUGUCCGUGUAGACCAAUUUGGGUUUCCAAUCUCUCCAAAAGAAUGUGGUGAUUGAUGGUAUCAAAAGCAGCACUAAGGUCUAGGAGCACGAGGACAGAUGCAGAGUCUCGGUCUGACGCCAUGAAAAAGUAAUUUACCACCUUCACAAGUGCAGUCUCAGUGCUAUGAUGGGGUCUAAAACCAGACUGAAGCGUUUCUUGUACAUUGUUUGUCUUCAGGCAGGCAGUGAGUUGCUGCGCAACAGCUUUUUCAAAAAAUUUUGAGAGGAAUGGAAGAUUCGAUAUAGGCUGAUAUUUUUUUUUAUAAUUUCUGGGUCAAGAUUUGGCUUUUUCAAGAGAGGCUUUAUUACUGCCACUUUUAGUGAGUUUGGUACACAUCCGGUGGAUAGAGAGCCGUUUAUUAUGUUCAACAUAGGAGGGCCAAGCACAGAAAGUAGCUCUUUCAGUAGUUUAGUUGGAAUAGGGUCCAGUAUGCAGCUUGAAGGUU